rnacentral:lncRNA from 1 species
UACAUCUUGAUAAGUUUAUCUCUUGCUCGAUAGCUUGGAAUAAAAUUAUACAAGCAAUGCAGUAGAUUUUUUUUACAUUAAUAUUUACUAAAAAAAUAAUUAUAAUAUCAUGGGAACCAUUUAGAUUCCGAAGCGUGGUGCAUUGAUCAGAUGGAUUGCUAUCACAUCCAUUUCCGGACGUGCAUGUCACGUGCCGAGGCAGUAACGGUAAAGCGAGUAGUACGGACACAAACGAUAAAAAGGAG